rnacentral:rRNA from 1 species
GUGGGGAAUAUUGGACAAUGGGCGAAAGCCUGAUCCAGCCAUGCCGCGUGUGUGAAGAAGGUCUUCGGAUUGUAAAGCACUUUAAGUUGGGAGGAAGGGCAGUAAGUUAAUACCUUGCUGUUUUGACGUUACCGACAGAAUAAACACCGGCUAACUUCGUGCCAGCAGCCGCGGUAAUACGAAGGGUGCAAGCGUUAAUCGGAAUUACUGGGCGUAAAGCGCGCGUAGGUGGUUUUGUAAGUUGGAGGUGAAAUCCCCGGGCUCAACCUGGGAACUGCCUCCAAAACUGCAUGACUAGAGUACGGUAGAGGGUAGUGGAAUUUCCUGUGUAGCGGUGAAAUGCGUAGAUAUAGGAAGGAACACCAGUGGCGAAGGCGACUACCUGGACUGAUACUGACACUGAGGUGCGAAAGCGUGGGGAGCAAACAGGAUUAGAUACCCUAGUAGUCC